GAUGAAGAACGCAGCGAAAUGCGAUACGUAAUGUGAAUUGCAGAAUUCAGUGAAUCAUCGAGUCUUUGAACGCACAUUGCGCCCCCUGGUAUUCCGGGGGGCAUGCCUGUCCGAGCGUCAUUGCUGCCCUCAAGCACGGCUUGUGUGUUGGGCCUCCGUCCUCCUCCCGGGGGACGGGCCCGAAAGGCAGCGGCGGCACCGCGUCCGGUCCUCGAGCGUAUGGGGCUUCGUCACCCGCUCUUGUAGGCCCGGCCGGCGCUUGCCGACACAUCAAUCUUUUUUCCAGGUUGACCUCGGAUUAGGUAGGGAUACCCGCUGAACUUAAGCAUAUCAAAAGCGGAGGA
rnacentral:misc_RNA from 1 species